GACGAACGCUGGCGGCGUGCUUAACACAUGCAAGUCGAACGGAAAGGCCCUGCUGUUGGGGGGUGCUCGAGUGGCGAACGGGUGAGUAACACGUGAGUAACCUGCCCUUGACUUUGGGAUAACUUCAGGAAACUGGGGCUAAUACCGGAUAGGAUCUCCUGCUGCAUGGUGGGGGUUGGAAAGUUUCGGCGGGUGGGGAUGGACUCGCGGCUUAGCAGCUUGGUGGGGGGGUAGUGGGUUACCAAGGCUUUGACGGGUAGCCGGCCUGGGGGGGUGACCGGCCACACUGGGACUGAGGAACCGGCCAGACCCCUGCGGGGGGGAGGAGGGGGGAAUAAUGCGCAAUGGGGGGAAGCCUUGCGCAGCGACGCCGCGGGGGGGGUGACGGCCUUCGGGGUGUAAACCUCUUUCAGCCGGGGCGAAGCGGGAGGGACGGGAACUGGGGAAAAAACCCCGGGCAACCCAGUG
rnacentral:rRNA from 1 species